rnacentral:rRNA from 1 species
UGAGCAACCUGCCCCUGGCUCUGGGAUAACUCCGGGAAACCGGGGCUAAUACCGGAUACUCCGGUCGAACCGCAUGGCUCGAUCGGGAAAGCUCCGACGGUCUGGGAUGGGCCCGCGGCCUAUCAGCUUGUUGGUGGGGUAACGGCCUACCAAGGCGACGACGGGUAGCUGGUCUGAGAGGACGACCAGCCGCACUGGAACUGAGAUACGGUCCAGACUCCUACGGGAG